rnacentral:pre_miRNA from 1 species
AGUGGGAUAGCUGGGUCAAAUGGCAGUUCCAUUAAAAGAUUUCCAAGUAAUCUCCAUACUGCUUUCUAGAUUGGCUGCACCAAUUUGCAGUCCCACCAGCAAU